CGAUCACAUACUCGAGGAAGUCAUCGUGGUUGGCAUCGUCCCCGGCGGUGCUGCUGUAGUGCACGGUGAUCCUCCGAAAGGCGCCAGGCGGCCCGACGGUGGCCAUGGCCGCCGGCGUCAGGCAGCAACCACCGGGCAUUGAACACUCUGCUUCCAGUUCUGGACCGUGCCCUCGCGCCGUGCACAAUCAAGUUUCUCUUCUUCCUUUUUCGAGAUCCAGCGGACCGUCUUGCAUACCAUGCGUGACCAGGAACCGGCCACGCUGGAUCUCGACAUCUCGACGUCGAGAAAAUCUUAGUGGCCGUCUUUUGAGAAGAUUGCGCGCCACGGAAGAGGCCAAAGACUUGGGGUCAAGUCAACCAGGUGAGCAAUGAAGGAUGCCAAGCUGAUUCAGCGCAUUGUGUUGUUAAUUCAGUUUGACAGGGACAAGAAGGCAUUGUACCGUACCUAUUUUGUGUUAGUUGGUGGGGAUAACUUUUUGUCUGCCUAGUUGGAUAUGGUUUUGGCUUAGCUUAGCUCUGUUCUUGAGGAUGGGGUGGUAACUUUCUCAGGUUAAUCUGUGUAGCUCGCUCACCAAGAGUACUGUGCCUCAGAAAAUAAAUUCCUAAUUGCAAAAAUGAUCUGAAUGAAAGGAAAUGUUA